AUGGGUGUGUGUGUCAGACCGUUUACUAAACACCAGGACUGUUGUAGGCGACGAAAAGAAAACUGAGAUCCAGGAAAGGGAAGUGAUUGCCGUGUUGAACCAUGAAAGGACCUCAGGAAUGAAACCCACACACAGCAAAGCAACAAAGUGAAAGAAGCGUGGAUUCCUAAUGCAGGAGGCACUGAACCAAUCAAUACCCACUGCCCUCCAGACCUCCA
rnacentral:lncRNA from 1 species